AUUUUACAGAUGAGGAAGCUGAGGCUUAGCUAAGAAGCUAAGUGACUGGCCCUAAGUCACACAAGAGCUUUUGCUGGGAAGACGGCAAACAAGCUGAUGGAUGCCCUAAAGGACUCCGACCUCCUGCACUGGAAACACAGCCUGUCAGAGCUCAUCGAUAUCAGCAUCGCACAGAAAACGGCCAUCUGGAGGCUGUAUGGCCGCAGGUAGGUCUCCCAAGGCCCUGGGGGUGUGAAUUCUUUAGAGAGAAGCAGGAGCUAGCAAG
rnacentral:ncRNA from 2 species